GACGAACGCUGGCGGCGUGCCUAAUACAUGCAAGUAGAACGCUGAAGGAGGAGCUUGCUUCUCUGGAUGAGUUGCGAACGGGUGAGUAACGCGUAGGUAACCUGCCUGGUAGCGGGGGAUAACUAUUGGAAACGAUAGCUAAUACCGCAUAAGAGUAGAUGUUGCAUGACAUUUGCUUAAAAGGUGCAAUUGCAUCACUACCAGAUGGACCUGCGUUGUAUUAGCUAGUUGGUGAGGUAACGGCUCACCAAGGCAACGAUACAUAGCCGACCUGAGAGGGUGAUCGGCCACACUGGGACUGAGACACGGCCCAGACUCCUACGGGAGGCAGCAGUAGGGAAUCUUCGGCAAUGGACGGAAGUCUGACCGAGCAACGCCGCGUGAGUGAAGAAAGGUUUUUCGG
rnacentral:rRNA from 1 species